UAGUACAUGGUGUAAGGCACGCUUCAUUUUGAUUGAAGAGGAUUUAGUUCAACCCUAUUUGUAUUAA
rnacentral:tRNA from 1 species